rnacentral:rRNA from 1 species
GUGGGGAAUUUUGGACAAUGGGCGCAAGCCUGAUCCAGCAAUGCCGCGUGCAGGAAGAAGGCCUUCGGGUUGUAAACUGCUUUUGUACGGAACGAAACGGUCCUGGUUAAUACCUGGGGCUAAUGACGGUACCGUAAGAAUAAGCACCGGCUAACUACGUGCCAGCAGCCGCGGUAAUACGUAGGGUGCGAGCGUUAAUCGGAAUUACUGGGCGUAAAGCGUGCGCAGGCGGUGCUGUAAGACAGGCGUGAAAUCCCCGGGCUCAACCUGGGAAUUGCGCUUGUGACUGCAGUGCUGGAGUACGGCAGAGGGGGAUGGAAUUCCGCGUGUAGCAGUGAAAUGCGUAGAGAUUUGGAGGAAUACCAGUGGCGAAGGCGGCCCCCUGGCACAACACUGACGCUCAGGUGCGAAAGCGUGGGGAGCAAACAGGAUUAGAAACCCGUGUAGUCC